rnacentral:tRNA from 1 species
CCGCCACUGACUCAUCCGGAAAGAGCAGCAGCCUUCGAAGCUGGCUGCGUGGGGUUCGAGUCCUUGAUGGCGGUCCA